ensembl:lncRNA
GCGUUCCAGGACGCCGGAAAAAACACUCCAGGACAGAACACAGGCAAAAAACAGACUCAGGAAACGGGAUUCGUGACAAAAACUGAGAUUGUAUGGCAGGUUAAAACUGAGAUUGUAUGGCAGGUUGAGGCUGAGAUUGUAUGGCAGGGUAAAACUGAGAUUGUAUGGCAGGGUAAACUGAGAUUGUAUGGCAGGUUGAAACUGAGAUUGUAUGGCAGGUUAAAACUGAGAUUGUAUGGCAGGUUAAAACUGAGAUUGUAUGGCAGGGUAAAACUGAGAUUGUAUGGCAGGGUAAACUGAGAUUGUAUGGCAGGUUGAGGCUGAGAUUGUAUGGCAGGUUGAGGCUGAGAUUGUAUGGCAGGUUGAGGCUGAGAUUGUAUGGCAGG